CUCGUAGGCGGCCAACUAAGUCAUACGUGAAAUCCCUCAGCUUAACUGGGGAACUGCGUGUGAUACUGGAUGGCUUGGAUUUGGGAGAGGGAUGCGGAAUUCCAGGUGUAGCGGUGAAAUGCGUAGAUAUCUGGAGGAACACCGGUGGCGAAGGCGGCAUCCUGGACCAAUAUUGACGCUGAGGAGCGAAAGCCAGGGAGCAAACG
rnacentral:rRNA from 1 species